rnacentral:rRNA from 1 species
CCUACGGGUGGCUGCAGUGGGGAAUAUUGCACAAUGGGCGCAAGCCUGAUGCAACCAUGCCGCGUGUGUGAAGAAGGCCUUCGGGUUGUAAAGCACUUUCAGCGGGGAGGAAGGCGGUGAGGUUAAUAACCUCAUCGAUUGACGUUACCCGCAGAAGAAGCACCGGCUAACUCCGUGCCAGCAGCCGCGGUAAUACGGAGGGUGCAAGCGUUAAUCGGAAUUACUGGGCGUAAAGCGCACGCAGGCGGUCUGUCAAGUCGGAUGUGAAAUCCCCGGGCUCAACCUGGGAACUGCAUUCGAAACUGGCAGGCUAGAGUCUUGUAGAGGGGGGUAGAAUUCCAGGUGUAGCGGUGAAAUGCGUAGAGAUCUGGAGGAAUACCGGUGGCGAAGGCGGCCCCCUGGACAAAGACUGACGCUCAGGUGCGAAAGCGUGGGGAGCAAACAGGAUUAGAUACCUGGUAGUC